rnacentral:lncRNA from 1 species
GAGAGGCUUGAUUGAGAACCUACCCGACUAUCAGAGGACCUGUCCGGGAAGAGAAAUGGGGCUACGUCCAGGUAAUGCUACGAUGCUUAACGUCCCGAUGACGUCAUAGGUCAGCGCGCGCUGCCCUGGUCGCCCCCCAAGCCCAUAAAUGACCAUUUCCGGGGACCUCAGCGCUGGGUCCCCUUUCUCGGUUGCAGUCUCCAUCUCUAUAUUGGGACUCACUGGGUUAUCCUUCUGUGCCUCAGUUUCCUCCUCUGUAAACUGAAGAAACCCGUCUCAUGGAAUCUUUUGAAAAUAACCAGAUCAGCCAGGCGCGGUGGCUCACGCCUGUAAUUCCAGGACUUUGGGAGGCCGAGGCUGGCGGAUCACGAGGUCAGGAGUUCGAGACCAGCCUGACCAACAUGGUGAAACCCCGUUUCUACUAAAAAUACAAAAAUUAGUCGGGCGUGGUCGCUGGUGCCUGUAAACCCAGCUACUCAGGAGGUUGAGGCAGGAGAAUCGCUUGAACCUGGGAGGUGGAGGUUGCAGUGAGCCGAGAUUGCACCAAGUGUGAAUCAACCGUCCACUUUCUGCUAUUCUUUGUUAAAUAAAUACUUUUAAAUCCUUACUGGAUACCAAUGCUCUCCAACAGGACCUCCUACCACUACCCCUCUUUUGUCCUAUAUUUUGCCACAUAGGUAAAAUAUAAAAAUAGGUAAUAUAGAAAAUAAAACACAUACUGCUGUAUUGUCAGGUAGUGAUAGGAUUUAUCACUACCUGACAAUACAGUAUGUGUUUGUUUUAUAUAUUUAGGGUGUACAGCGUGUGUUUUGAUACACAUGUACCCAGUGAAAUAAUAAUUAUGACAGUUUUUUUUUUUUUUUUUGAGACGGAGUUUUGCUGUCGUUGCCCAGGCUGAAGUGCAAUGGUGUGCUCUCGGCUCACUGCAGCCUCUGCCUCCCGGGUUCAAGCGAUUCUCAUGCCUCAGCCUCCCGAAUAGCUGGGAUUACAGGCAUGCACCACCAUGCUUGGCUAAUUUUUUUGUAUUUUUAGUAGAGACGGGGUUUCUCCAUGUUGGUCAGGCUGAUCUCGAACUCCUGACCUCAGGUGAUUCGCCCACCUUGGCCUCCCAAAGUGCUGGGAUUACAGGCAUUUUCACCACACAUGGCCAAUUAUGAGAGUUAAGCAAUUAACCUAUCCAUUGCCUUCCAUAAUUAACUGUGUGUGUAGUGAGAGUAUCUAAAAUGUACUUUCUUGGCAAAUUUUCAAUAUACUAUGCAAAAUUAUUAACACAAAGUAUACGUUACUUUUUGUUUGUUUGUUUUGGCUGGCUGCGGUGGCUUAUGCCUAAAAACAUGCCCUUUGAGGAGGCUGAGGUGGGAGGAUCACUUGAGGCCAGGAGCUAGAGACCAGCCUAGGCAACAUGUCAAAACCCAGUCUCUCAAAAAAAAAAAAAAAAAAAGAAAAAAAGGAAAAAAAAGAGAAAAGGAAAAAAAAGAAAAGAACAACAACAAAAAUUAGCCAGAUGUGGUGCAUCAUGCCAGGGUCCCAGAUACUUGGGAGGCCAAGGCGGGAGGAUCAUUCGAGCCUGGGAAAUCGAGGCUGCAGUGAGCCAUGAUCACCCCACUGCACUCCAGCUUGGGUAACAGAGCAAGACCCUGUCUCAAAAAAAAAAAAGCCUUGCUUUCCUGACCCAUUGAUCUGUUUGUUUUUUGUCCUCUGUCAGCAGCAUAUCAGCCUGAUGACAUCAGGGACUGUAUCUGUCCCCAUCAUUGCUGUAAGUUCCCCACUGCUGAAUAAAUACGUUUAUUUAUUCAGUGGUGAAUAAUCUAAGCCUAGAGUCAAUGUACUAGUUAUUAGAGCAGAUGCCAUUAUCGCCUCUUGGAUCUCAUUCCCAGGGUGUUCAUUGGGCAUCUGUCAAAAAAACAAAAUUACAACACAUUUAGUUUAAAGAUCUUAAUUGAUUUUAUUUGCAAUUCUACAAUCGGGCAACACUUCAUUUCACAAAAUGAAACUAAUUUUCCCAUGAGCUGAGCAGGUAGGUUGGUUUUACAGGCAGAAAAAGGGCCAAGUAAAGCACAAACAGAAAAUAAAACGUGGAGGUCAGGUGCAGUGGCUCAUCCCAAAGUUACUUUUCUUGUAAAGGUUAAAGCAGAGAGGACAUCCUUAUCAUGAUGGCUAAAACUGACCUGGUGGGAGACUUGGCUAUCCCAUCUCUCUCUCUCCUGAUUUUGUAGAAGGUCAGAUAAACAACUUAGUUUCUUUUUGAUCACGUAAAACUUUAGCAUGAGUGACUCCAUUUUGGUUUAGUUUGUUGGGCCUGGUGUAGGAAGUCAGUCCAAAGUAAUAGCCUCCUAUAAGUUUUGUAUAACACAUCCUGUGUCCAGAUUGGUGGGUUCUUGGUCUUGCUGACUCCAAGAAUGAAGCCACAGACCCUCCGGUGAGUGUUACGGUUCUGAAAGAUGGUGUGUCCAGAGUUUGUUCCUUCUGAUAUUCAGACAUGUCUAGAGUUUCUUGCUUCUGGUGGGCUUUUGGUCUCGCUGACUUCAGGAGUGAAACUGCAGACCUUUGCGGUGAGUGUUACAGCUCAUAAAGGCAGUGCGCACCCAAAGAGUGAGCAGCAGCAGGAUUUACUGGGAAGAGUGAAAGAACAAAGUUUCCACAGCAUGGAAGGGGACCCAAGCACGUUGCCGCUGCUGGCUGCGGUGUCCUGCUUUUAUUCCCUUAUUUGGCCCCACCUACAUCCUGCUGAUUGGUCCAUUUUACAGAGAGCUGAUUGGUCCACUUUACAGAGUGCUGAUUGGUCCGUUUUACAGAGUGCUGAUUGGUCCGUUUUGACAGAGUGCUGAUUGGUGCAUUUACAAACCUUUAGCUAGACACAGAGUGCUGAUUGGUGCAUUUACAAUCCUUUAGCUAGACAGGAAAGUUCUCUAAGUCCCCUACGCGAUUAGUUAGACACAGAGCGCUGAUUGGUGCAUUUACAAACCUUUAGCUAGACACAGAGCGCUGAUUGGUGCAUUUGCAAUCCUUUAGCUAGACAGAAAAGUUCUCCAAGUCCCUACUCAACCAAGAAGCCCAGCCGGCUUCACCUCUCAAUCACCCCUCUAAACAGAACACCCCAACUGCUGUUGGGAAUUUGGCCGAUGACCACUCUAGCUACUUCCUGCUGGAAGAAGGGGCCCUGCAAUUGUAGUGUCCUCCAGAGGGGAACUCUUUAGGCCAGUGGAAGGGCCAGUGGGUCGGUCCAGGGGUCCUCAGUAGAAGUUGUUAGUUGAACUCAUUUGGGGUUCCAUUUUUAAGACCAUCUGUAGCUUGAUGGCCUCGAUUCUAGAAGAAACAAAUUUGACAAGAAGGUUAAAAAUGCAGGGCCCAAAGGUGAGUAAGAGCAAGAUGGCUGCCACAGGACCUAGGGGAGAAGCCAUGUUGCCCAACUCCAGAGGUUGGUAUUAGAGUUCGAAAGGCAUUGUCUGAUUUCAGAAGCCUUUUCCUGUAAAUGCCAGGUGGCAUCUCGUGCUAUCCCUGACUGUUUAGUGUAAAAACAACACUCUUCCCCUAAGAAGGUGCAGAGUCCUCCUUUCUCAGCAGUGAGGAGGUCUAGGCCUCAGUGGUUUUGGAGAGUUGCUGCUGCCAAAGAGUAUAUUUGGGAUUGUAGAGUAAGGAUAGAUUUUGUUAUUUCUUACAAACUGUCUGAGAAAUCCUUUGAAGGUGUAUGGUAGUAGAAUAAUGAAGUGGAUAAACUGGCUAUUCCGGUUCCUGUAGCAGUAGCCAUUCCUAACCCUAUAAGUAGGGAUAUUAGUUGUAUGGCCCUGCGCUGAUAGACUUGAGCUUUGAGGGGCACAGAUACGGUCUGAUUUCCAUAAGAUUAGAAGUUAGGAUAAUACAUGUUACACUGUUAACUUUUUUAGCAAACUUUACUUUUGUUGAAAACCUUGUAAGUUUGGGAUUUCAAUUAUUCUUUGCUAUUAGUAAGACCUUGUUCAGUCCAUAUUAACUUAGAAUUGGUAUAGAUGGCUGCUUCCUGAUUCUGUAAGUACUUUAAGAUUUGGCUGAGUGGAAACAACUGGCAUGUUUGAGCAGACCAAUUAUUAGGCAAUUUUCCUAACUCUGCAUCUACAAGAGUUUCCUUAUCACUUACUGAAUACCCAUUGUGUCUUUUUCCCUUAAUCGCCUGGGAGGAACCAUCUAUCAUCCUGUCCUGAAGGGAGUUCCUCCUAGAUCUGGUCAGACCUUUGUAUGGUAAUUAAUUAAGAUUUAGAUCUCCUGUUAGGAAACCUGCUGGGUUAAGGAUUUUUGAUAGGAAGGCUACAGGUUGUCAGUGGCCUCAGUGCUUUCCGGCUAUGCCCUUGUUUACACUGACAACAAGGUGGUAUUGGAGUGUUAUAAGGUUACAGAGAAGACCUUCAAUUAUCAAUUAUAGGUUUUAAAUUUACGCUAGGGUACACUUUUUUUUUUUUACUACUUCUAUCUCCUUUUCUCUUUGACUUCUUCUUUGUCUCUGUCUCUUCCUCUCUGUCUCCUUCUCUUUGUCUCUCUGUUUCUUCCUCUCUUCUCUCUUUCUCUGACUUCCUGUCUCUUUCUCUCUUUCCUUUCUGCUGGUCUUUCCCUGCCUCUGCUAGCCACUUAUGCUGCUGUUCUCCCCUCUUCUUCCCAUUUUUGAUGGCUUCGGCUGUGUAAGACUGCCACCUCCUUGGGUUUUUGCACUGUGUGCAAUAACUCCAUGGUUUCCUUGUGGUAUUUAAUGGGGGUUCCCCCAGAGGUUAGAAACUCCCUUUCUUUCCAUAUUGCGGCAUGGGCAUGUAGGAUUAGGUAAGCAUACUUGCUAUAUGUAUACACAUUUAUUCUUUUUCCGUUUCCCAGUUCUAAGGCUCAGGUAAGUGCCACUAGUUCUGCUAACUGGGCGCUGGUCCCUGGGGGAAGAGGCUUACUUUCAAGUACAGUUACAUCACUAACUAUGGCAUAACCUGCCCUUCAUAUCCCAUUCUCCACAAAUGAACUUCCAUCAGUAUAUAGGUUAAGGUCAAGAUUAGCUAAGGGGACUUCUAAGAGAUCCUCUUGGGCAGCAUAAUUCUGGGCUAUAAUUUGUUGGCAGUCAUGCUCAAUUGGUUCCUCAUACUCUGGGAGAAAAGUGGCAGGGUUGAGGGCCACACAUGUGCAUAUUUGAAGCACCAGCCCCUCAAGGAAUAGUGCCUGGUAUCUAAGUAGGCGAUUGUCUGAUAGCCAUAAACUUUCUUUAGCACCUAGGUUGCCAUUUACAUCAUGAGUAGUCCAGACAGUGAGAUCCUUUCCUUGUAUUAUUUUGAUAGCCUCUGACACUAAGACAGCCACUGCUGCAACUACCCAUAAGCAAUGAGGCCAGCCAUUUGCUACUACAUCAGUUUCCUUACUUAGGUAUGCCACUGGUUGUGGGGUUAUCCCAUGAGUCUGAGUAAGGACUCCAAGAGCUAUCCCUGCUCUCUCUGUGAUGUUUUGUCCUGUGGGAAGGCUUAAAGCUGGAGCUUGUACUAGGGCCUGCUUUAAGGUUUUGAAGGCUGUUUCUGCCCCUGGUUCCCAUUCUACUAGAUGAGUAUUUGCCCUCUGGGUCUCCUUGAUUAGAGUAUAGAGGGGCCUGGCUAUCUCGCUGUAUCUGGGGAUCCACAAUCAGCAAAAGCUGGUGAUUUCAAGGAACCCCUGCAACUGUUAAAUGUCUUAGGGUGAGGAUAAGCCAGUAUAGGCUGUAUUUGUUCCUUGCUGAGGGCCCUGAUUCCUCUGGCUAAGAUUAGGCCUAGAUAUUUGACCUGCUGUAGGCAAAGCUGGGCCUUCGACCUAGAUGCCUUGUACCCUUGAUUAGCUAGAAAGUUCAAGAGAUCUAGAGUAGCCUGCUGGCAUGAGGCUUCUGAACUAGUAGCCAAAAGUAAAUCAUCCACAUACUGAAGGACCAGAGCACCUGGAUUUGAGAAGUGGCCUAGAUCUUGAGCCAGUGCCUGACCAAACAGAUGAGGGCUAUCCCUAAACCCUUGGGGCAAGACCAUCCACGUAAGUUGGGACGUGUGGUCUGUGGGAUCCUCAAAGGCAAAGAGAAACUGAGAGUCAGAGUGCAGGGGAAUACAGAAGAAGGCAUCCUUGAGGUCCAGAACAGUGAACCAUUCUGCUUCCUCUGGUAUUUGAGAGAGCAGGGUAUAGGGGUUGGAUACAACUGGAUAUAGAAAAAUUAUUGCCUCAUCGAUGAGUCUAAGAUCUUGCACUAGUCUCCAUUGACCAUUUGGUUUUUGUACUCCUAGAAUUGGGGUGUUGCAGGGACUGCUGCAUUUCCUUACUAAGCCUUGAGCUUUUAAAUGUUUAACAAUAUCCUGUAAUCCUUUAUAAGCUUCAGGCUUUAAGGAAUAUUGCCUUUGAUAAGGAAAUGUGGUGGGAUCUUUUACCCUGAUUUGGACUGGGUGGGCAUUUUUUGCCCUUCCAAAUUGUCCUUCCAAUGCCCAGACUUCAGGCUUGAUUUCAUCCUCAAGUAGGGGACAACAAAUGGGAAACUUGUUCCCCAUAUUCAUGUAGAUAAUAGCUCCAGCUUUGGCUAAUAUAUCCCUCCCUAAUAAGGGUGUGGGACUUUCAGGCAUAACAAGAAAGGCAUGUGAAAAGAGCAAAGUCUCCCAAUUACAACUGAGGAGGUGGGAGAAAUACCUGGUUACAGGCUGUCCCAGGAUUCCUCAGAUGGUAACGGACCUGGAGGACAGCUGUUCAGGACAGGAAAUUAACACUGAGAAAGCCGCACCAGUGUCCAGGAGGAAGUCAAUUUCCUGGCUGUCAAUGGUUAAAGUUACCUGGGGCUCAGUGAGAGUGAUGACAUGAGCUGACACUUGCCCCAGGCACCCUCAGUCCUGUUGUUGGAUCAUCUGGUUGGGGGCUUCUGUCCCAGAGAAGCUUUGUCCUCUGGGGCAGUGUGCCUUCCAGUGAUUGCCUUGGCAUAGGGGACAUGGACAAGGGGGCAGCUUGUUUCUCAUUGGACAAUCUUUUUUAAAGUGUCCUUGCAAACCACACUGCUAACAAGCCAUACUGGAUGAUUGGCCUGCUCCAUUUUCUGUCCUCUCUGAACCACCAAGGUUUGUUUGUCUGAGGGCCAUGACUAAGUCUGCGGCCUUUCUCUGAUCUCACUUUUCCUUUUGGGCCUGUUCCUCUUGGUCCCUGUUAUAGAACAGUGAGGUUGCCAGGUUUAAUAAUGCCUCUAGAUUUUGUUCAGGGCACAGGGCUCACUUUUGGAGCUUUCUCCUGAUAUCUGUGGCUGAUUGGAUAAUAAACUUAUCUUUUAGGAUCAAUUGACCCUUGAGUGAUUUGGGUGACAGGGGAGUAUAUUUUCUUAAGGCCUUCUGUAGCCACUCGAGGAAGGCAGAAGGAUUUUCUUCCUUUCCCUGAGUUAUGGUGGACAUCAGUGAAUAAUUCAUGGGCUUCUUCCUAAUUAUCCUUAGUCCUUCUAGAACAUAGGUCAACAGAUGUUUAUGACUCCAGUCCCCAUGAUCUGAAUUGAAGUCCCAGUGGGGAUCCAUACUGGGGAUGGCUUGCUGACCAGUAGGGAAUUUGUCCCUUUCUUCAGCUGUCAUUCUAUCAUUUACUUAACUAAGAUACCAGGUACCUCCAAAGUCUUGGGCUGCAGCUAAAGCUGCAUUAUUUUCAUUAAAGGCCAGGGUUUGAUCUAACAAUAGCAUGACAUCUCUCCAAGUGAGAUUGAAGAUUUGCCCUAGACCCUGUAGGACAUCUAUGUACCUAUCAGGAUCAUCUGAAAACUUCCCCAGGUGUGCCUUGAUCUGCUUUAAAUCAGAGAGGGAGAAGUAGACAUGUACCCAUGUUAGGCCAAAUUCCCCUCCCGCUACAAUUUGAAGGGGACAUAACCGACAGCCCAGGGGAGUUUUGUGGUCCUUUGGAGAUUUCUUUGCUUAUUUCCUUCUGGGCAGGGGAGAUUAGAGGAGGCUUGUCACUAAUACGAAGGGGAGCUGUAGGGAGGCUAGGAUAUGGGGGUAAGCUGAAAGGUUCUCCUGUGGGAUGUAAAUUGCAACCUUUGCAUAGAUGUGUAUUCUCCUUUAAUGAAAGGAAAGCUUGGACAUAACUAUUUCACUCCAUUUGCCUUUCUCUUACAGAAAAGGUCAAGCUGCAGGAUAGUAUUGUAAUUUGUACUUCCCUCAGAUGGCCAUUUUUCCCCAUCAGAGAGAGAAUAUUGGGGCCAGGCCACAGUGCAGAAAAAAAUGAGCUGCCUCUUUUUCAGGGUUUGCAGGUCAGACUGGUCCCAAUGGCCUAGGAUGCAUUUCAAGGGUGAGCCUGUUGAUGCCUGUUUCCCAUCUGAAAGACAAAACCACCCACGAUUUUGGUGUGUUUUUCUUCUCCCCCUGCCCAAGAAUCCACAAUGGUCCUUGGGCCCUGCUGAUCGGAAUAGUUGCGCUCACUGAUGCAGCAGCAGAAACAACCCCUGCCCAAGAACCCGUAAUGGUCACUAGACCCUGCUGAUUGGAAUAGUUGCACUCACCAACGCAGCAGCAGAAACAGUAGCUUUCCUCCCAGACCACAAGGAGAACCGAGGAAGGUCGGAUUUAGUGGCCCUUACCAACGCAUUCUCAAAAAACCUGCACCCUUGCCUGUCCUCCUAGACCACAAAGAUGACCGAGAAAAAUUGGAUUUAGUGGCCCUUACCAACACAUUCUCGAAAACCUGUUACAGUCCUAAGCAUUCUCCUUUUAGUAUUGGGACCUUACCAAUUUCCUACAAUGAUGUUAUGCCCCAAAAAUGAAGUGGAGGGCCAUACCAUGAGGGAAGGAAGGGAUCUCCAGGGUUGGAAGAGUGACACCUUUUGUCCUCACUUAUAUGAAUAGGAAGAAUACAAUUUCUGAGGCUCCCCAUAUCCUAGCUUCAGGAAUAGCUUUUAUUAGUCCUGCUUGUCUGAGGAGGGAUCCUAAAAUUCCAGAUAGCCCCCCUACAACAGGGCUUUGGGCAAAAAUUAUGUCUUUCUGAUUAGUGAGCCUAGGUGCCUAAAGAAGGUAACAGAGUCCUGAAGUUUAUACUAGAAGUCAUUCUUAUAGGAGAAACUAGAAAAGCACCAGAGACAGGGAGUGGUUUUUAGAGGUGGGACUAGCCUCGGAGAAGAGAGGCGAGAGGAAGUUUGUCUGACAGGCAUUAGGACCCAGGAGGCAAGGGUCAGGACAGAUAGGAUAGAUGGGCGAGUCUCACUUGGGCGACAUGACUUUGAGAGUUCUGCUCAUGGCCACAGGAUCAACCAACUUGUUGUCAAGACCCCAGAGCUGAAUGGCUUUCCUGUCAACCCUCGACUCAGCCCAGAAGUACAGGAAAAGCGGAAGCUGGUUCCAGGCAAACUAACGCUCCCAACUCCAAAAAGUCGGGGUUUGUUAGAGAGCCCCUUCCCAGAAAGCCUCACACCCAUGUCUUUAGUCCAGCACCUGCGCUAGUCGCUUUUAACUGGCCGACAGGUGCCCGGUAUUUAGCCCCCAAAUUCUAAGGAAAAAUAGGACGAAUAGCAAGCGAAAGGGGUCCGAUGGUACUCACCGCUUGGUGAUAGGCGAUAGUCUCACCGCUUGGUGAUAGGCGAUAGUCCCUUCGUGGUCGCCAAAAUGUGUCCAGUAUUGGUGGGUUCUUGGUCUCACUGACUUCAAGAAUGAAGCUGUGGACCCUCACGGUGAGUGUUACAGUUCUUAAAGAUGGUGUGUCUGGAGUUUGUUCCUUCUGAUGUUUGGAUGUGUCUGGAGUUUAUUCCUUCUGGUAGGUUCGUGGUCUCGCUGACUUCAGGAGUGAAGCUGCAGAUCUUUGCGGUGAGUGUUACAGCUCAUAAAGGUGGUGCGGACCCAAAGAGUGAGCAGCAGCAAGAUUUAUUGCGAAGAGUGAAAGAACAGAGCUUCUACAGCGUGGAAGGGAACCUGAGUGGGUUGCUGCUGCUGGCUCGGGUGGCCUUUUAUUCCCUUAUUUGGCCCCACCCACAUCCUGCUGAUUGGUCUAUUUUACAGAGAGCUGAUUGGUCCAUUUUACAGAGUGCUGAUUGUUCCGUUUUAGAGUGCUGAUUUGUCCAUUUUGACAGAGUGCUGAUUGGUGCAUUUACAAAACUUUAGCUAGACACAAAGUGCUGAUUGGUGCAUUUACAAUCCUUUAGCUAGACAGAAAAUUCUCCAAGUCCCCUACCUGAUUAGCUAGACACAGAGCGCUGAUUGGUGCAUUUACAAACCUUUAGCUAGACACAGAGUGCUGAUUGGUGCAUUUACAAUCCUUUAGCUAGACACAGAGUGCUGAUUGGUACGUUUACAAUCCUUUAGCUAGACAGAAAAGUUCAAGUCCCCACCCGACCCAGAAGCCUAGCCGGCUUCACCUCUCAAUCCCAUAAACAAAUUUGACUCCUUCCCCAUAUCCACUCCCCCUCUUGUGUCUCCAUCCUUCCUUCCCUCCCUCCCAUCAAACCCAGAGGACAUGGACUUCUGUCUCAUCUUCUCCUCUCUGCCUCCCUCCCUCUAUCAUCCUCAGUUGCCUUAUUCUGUCUCUCCUCCCUCUGAAAUUUCUCUUGAUUCUUUUUUUUUUUUUUUGAGGCAGGGUCUCACUCUGUUGCCCAGGCUGGAGUGCAGUGGCAUGAUCUCGGCUCACUGCACCCUCUGCCUCCCGAGUCCAAGCAAUUCUCUGCCUUAGCCUCUCAAGUAGCUGGGAUUACAGGCGCCCACCACCACACCUGGCUAAUUUUUUUGUAUUUUUAGUAGAGAUGGGGUUUCACUAUCUUGGCCAGGCUGGUCUUGAACUCCUAACCUCAUGAUCCACCCGCCUUGGCCUCCCAAAGUGCUGGGAUUAUAGGCAUGAGCCACUGCACCCGGACUUUUUAAAAAUUUAUCGUAGAGAUGAGGUCUUGCUGUGUUGCGUAGGCUGGUCUCAAACUCCAAGGUCCUCCAGCCUCAGCCUCCCAAAGAGCUGGGAUUACAGUCGCGAGGCACUGGACCCAGCCUGUGAUGAAUAUUAAUGCCUUAUUAAUUCUUUACCACCCCCUCCCCACACCAUGAGGCCAGGAAGGGAUGGUGGCAUGGAGGGGUGGGGUGUCAAAACCAUCCCCAUUUUCCAAAUGCAGGAACUGGGGCCAGUGAGCUCCUGUGGUCCAGGAGAGGGAUGUGAUUUACAGCUGCAGCUCUGGAGUUUAACAGGUCCAGGUUCACAUCCCAGCUUCCUGGCCCCUUGUUAGUUUCCUGCCAUGGUGUUUUUCUUUUCUUUCUUUUUUUCUUUCUUUUUUGAGACAGAGUCUUGCUCUGUCACCCAGGCUGGAGUGCAGUGGUGCAAUCUCAGCUCACUGCAACCUCCGCCUCCCAGGUUCAAGUGAUUCUCCUGCCUUAGCCUCCCGAAUAGCUGGGACUACGGGCAUGUGCCACCAUGCCUGGCUAAUUUUUUGUAUUUUUAGUAGAGACGGGGUUUCACCGUGUCAGCCAGUAUGGUCUUGAUCUCCUGACCUUGUGAUCUACCCACCUCAGCCUCCCAGAGUGCGGGGAGUGUAGGAGUGCGCCACCGUGCCCAGGUGGUGGUUUUUUUUUUUUUUUUUCUGUCGUUCCCCAGGUUGGAGGGGCAGGAAAUGCUUUGAGGUCAAGGUGGCUGCAGGAAAAAGGAUGACAUUGAAGAGAUGAGCCCAUCAUUGGCAGAGCCUGGAAAUGAAGAGGGUGUGGCUAGAGGAACCCCCUCUCCUGCAGACUGGACUCACCACCAGCUCCAGUGACAGUGGGCUCAGAGGAGAUCCUCUAAGCCUGCUCAGUACAGGACACAGGCAAACAAGGAACCUGGAGAGGGCAGCCUCUAGCCUCCCUGGCCUGGCAGCUGUAGGACCUACCUCUACAAAGCUAAAAAGUUUGUCACCUAUACCCAGCCACAGCCCCAGGGAAACAGCUGUGUCCCCAGCACCUGCCAGGAAGGGUCAAGACAAGGAAAUCACAGAUAUUUUUUCUUCUAGCGCAAGAACCCCCACCACCUCCCCAAGAGACAUCUAUAAGGAAUAUUUGGAGGGAGAUACUGGGGCAAAAAUAAAUUAACAGGCCGGGCACAGUGGCUUGCGCCUGUAAUCCCACCAGUUUCGGAGGCCGAGGCGGGCAGAUCACUUGAGGUCAGGAGUUUGAGACCAGCCUGGCCAAACCCAUCUAUACUAAAAAUACAAAAAUUAGCUGGGUGCAGUGGGAGGCGCCUGUAAUCUCAGCUACUCGGGAGGCCGAGGCAGGAGAAUCGCUUGAACCCGGGAGGUGGAGGUUGCAGUAAGCUGAGAUCGCACUACCGCGCUCCAGCCUGGGUGACAGAGUGAGACUCUUGUCUCGGAAAAAAAAAAAAAAAAAAUUAACAGCAGCUGGGGUUCAGAAAAUGGACAGAUGUGGUUUUCCUCAAAUACAUGUCCUAGAUGUAGGGUAUCCAAUUAUUACAAUUUUUAUUUUAUUUCAUAUUUAUUUAUUUAUUUUUUAGACAGAAUCUCGCUCUGUUGCCUGGGCUGGAGUGCAGUGGCACUGUAUCCGGAAUUGGGGGGUUCUUGGUCUCACUGACUUCAAGAAUGAAGCCAUGGACCCUUGCGGUAAGUGUUCCAGCUCUUAAGGUGGCGCGUCUGGAGUUUGUUUCUUCUGAUGUUCAGGUGUGUUCAGCGUUUCUUCCUUCUGGUGGGUUCAUGGUUUCACUGGCUCAGGAGUGAAGCUGCAGACCUUCGCAGUGAGUGUUACAGCUCAUAAAAGCAGUGGGGACCCAAAGAGUGAGCAGUACAAGAUUUAUUGCAAAGAGCAAAAGAACAAAGCUUCCACAGUGUGGAAGGGGACCCAAGUGGGUUGCCACUGCUGGCUCGGGCAGCCUGCUUUUAUUCUCUUAUCUGGCCCCACCCACAUCCUGCUGAUUGGUAGAGCCCACUGGUCUGUUUUGACAGGGCGCUGAUUGGUGCGUUUACAAUUCCUGAGCUAGACACAAAGGUUCUCCACAUCCCCACCAGAUUAACUAGAUACAGAGUGUCAACACAAAGGUUCUCCAAGGCCCCACCACAGUAGCUAGAUACAGAGUGUCGAUUGGUGCAUUCACAAACCCUGAGCUAGACACAGGGUGCUGAUUGGUGUGUUUACAAACCUUGAGCUAGAUACAGAGUGCCGAUUGGUGUAUUUACAAUCCCUGAGCUAGACAUAAAGGUUCUCCAAGGCCCCACCAGAGUAGCUAGAUACAGAGUGUUCAUUGGUGCAUUCACAAACCCUGAGCUAGACAUAGGGUGAUGAUUGGUGUAUUUACAAUCCCUGAGCUAGACAAAGGUUCUCCACGUCCCCACCAGACUCAGGAGCCCAGCUAGCUUCACCCAGUGGAUCCUGCACCGGGGCUGCAGGUGGAGCUGCCUGCCAGUCCCACGCCGUGCGCCUGCACUCCUCAGCCCUUGGGUGGUGGAUGGGACUGGGCACCAUGGAGCAUGGGGCAGUGCUCGUCAGGGAGGCGCGGGCCGCACAGGAGCCCAUGGAGGGGGUGGGAGGCUCAGGCAUGGCGGGCUGCAGGUCCCGAUCCCUGCCCCGCGGGAAGGCAGCUAAGGCCUGGUGAGAAAUCAAGCGCAGCGCCGGUGCGCUGGCACUGCUGGGGGACCCAGUACACCCUCCGCAGCCGCUGUCCGGCCCGGGUGCUAAGCCCCUCAUUGCCCGGGGCCAGCAGGGCCGGACGGCUGCUCUGAGUGCAGGGUCCGCCAAGCCCACGCCCACCCGGAACUCCAGCUGGCCCACAAGCACCGCGCGCAGCCCCGAUUCCGGCUCGCGCCUCUCCCUCCACACUUCCCUGCAAGCUGAGGGAGCCAGCUCCGGCCUUGGCCAGCCCAGAAAGGGGCUCCCACAGUGCAGCGGUGGGCUGAAGGGCUCCUGAAGUGCCGCCACAGUGGGAGCCCAGGCAGAGGAGUCGCAGAGAGUGAGCGAGGGCUGUGAGGACUGCCAGCACGCUGUCACCUCUCAGCGCCAUCUCGGCUCACUGCAACCUCCACCUCCUGGGUUCAAGCAAUUCUCCGGCCUCAGCCUCCUGAGUAGCUGGGAUUAUAGGUGCGCAUCACUAUGCCCAGCUAAUUUUUGUAUUUUUAGUAGAAAUGAGGUUUCACCACAUUGGCCAGGCCAGACCAGCCUGGACAAUAGAGUGAGACCCUAUAUAGGGAUCUCACUAUAUAGAGCAAUACAGCGGGAUCACCCGACCUCGGGUGAUCCGCUCGUUGGCCUCCCAAAGUGCUAGUGUUACAAGUGUGAGCCAAUGCGCCCAGCCCUAUUCUUUUUUUUUUUUUUUUUUUUUUUGAAAUCAAGUCUUGCUCUGUCACCCAGGCUGGAGUGCAGUGGCAUGAUCUCUGCUCACCGCAACCUCCACCUCCCGAGUUCAAGUGAUUCUCCUGCCUCAGCCUCCUGAGUAGCUGGGAUUACAGGCACCCGCCACCACACCCGGCUAAUUUUUGUAUUUUUAGUAGAGACGGGGUUUCACCAUGUUGGUCAGGCGGGCCUGGAACUCGUAAUGUCAGAUGAUCCACCUGCCUCGGCCUCCUAAAGUGCUGGGAUUACAGGCAUGAGCGACCACGCCAUCUUUUUUUUUUUUUUUUAACAAAACACAGAUGUAGAAUUAGAGCCUUCAGGGGUGGGUGCAGUGGCGCUCACACCUUUAAUCCCAUCACUUUGUGAAGCCAAGGCAGGAGGAUCCCUUGAGUCUCGGUGUUUGAGACCAGCCUGGACAAUAGAAUGAGACCCUGCCUCUACGAAAAAAAAAUUAUUUUUGUUUUGAGAUGGAGUCUUGCUCUGUUGCCCAGGCUGGAGUGCAGUGGCGCAAUCUCGGCUUAUUUGCAGCCUCUGCCUCCUUGGCUCAAGUGAUUCUUCUGCGUCAGCCUCUAGAGUAGCUGGGACUACAGACGUGCACCACCAUGCUCGGCUAAUUUUUGUAUUUUUUUGUAGAGAUGGGGGUUCCACCAUGUUGGCCCGGCUGGUCUCGAACUGCUGACCUCAAGUGACCUGCCUGUCUCGGCCUCACAAAUGGCUGGGAUUACAGGCACGAGACACCGUGCCUGGCCCUGGGAACAUGUUUACAUGGACUUUGUUCACUUUUUAAAACAAACUGAGGGUAACUUACUAGAUCUGUGAACUAAAGAAAGAGAAAAAAAAGAAAGAAAACAAACAAGAACAAAGAACAAAGUGUUCUGAGGUUGCUUUUAUUCCAAGAACUCUGUGAGCUCCCACCAGCACCAUGAGGGCGCUCUCG